UCCAGGCGCCGCUGUGUGCCCGCCCGCCAUGGCACGCGGCGAGGAGCGCUGCCGCCGUGCUCGGGGAACUUGGCGCGUUUUUUUCUCCUCGUGACACACGGAGAGGACUUGGGGCAGCCUCGUCAGCUCUGUUUUUAAGCCGUCGUUCUGGAAACUCAUGGCAAUGUUCUGGAAGCAAAAUGAUGCUUAAAAGAGUGUAGCAGAUUCACGGUGUAAUUUAGUGAUGCUUUGGCAACGGGGCCACUUAAUUGGGGGAAAAAAAAAAGUGUUAAUGGGGACGUGUCCUACAGCUACCUUGUGAAUACCUGAGAAAAGAUUCAUCCCUGUGCUGGCAGCUAUGGAUUUAGUACGGAGCCGAAUCACAAACCUCCCCACCUCACCCUCCUCUGGUGAUACUGCACGUACAGCUGUGAGGCUGCUUCCAUUCCAGCUGCCUCUUUGCAGCCCAGUAGUGUAUAUACCAGAAGCCAAAGCUGUGAUCAGAAUGCAUUCCUCAGGCUUUCUGCAAUGAAAAUGCCAUUCAUACAUGGUUUUUUUAGUGAAUCUUGCCUUUUAUUGUCAUUUUAUUCUCAUAAUUCUAAAAAAAACCCUCUUUUUUGUGUGUGGAACAACUUUUGAAUAAUGAGACACAAAAUUUGCUUAAAUUCAGUAACUCCAUCCAUAAGAAAUAAUGACAGUAACGUUCCAACGUCAGUGUUGCUUUUUAUAAUAGGAAGCACACAUGCUGUAUGACUACACACACAAAGAUAUCACGCGUUGCCUGUACUAAGAUGGAACUUUAUUUUAGUAAUGCUUUUUUUUUUUUUUUUUUUCAUUUUAUUUCUGCAGCUUGGACAGUCUCGAAGAUAUUUGGAUUUGCAAGAACAUCUCCUCCUCCUCAGUAAUCAGAGAGAUAGCUUUCAGAUGACAUGUCUAUUCAAGGCAAGGCUCUGACAACCUCGUUCAUGGUGACAUCUCAUCUACGUUAAUUAGACCACUUCCAGAAGACAGGAUUGCAUCUCAUGAGUAAGUAUAUACCCAUCUGUUUUAAGCUUAAGCAGCAUUUGUUACCGCUAGAACUUUCUCCUUUAGCACGACAGUGUUUCCUAGUAUUUCAGCUGUAAUUUUACUGAACAGUAGAAUUAGCUGCUAUUGUACGACUUGGUGUAGGAUAAAGCAUUCUUGUCCACUAGUCUGAAAGUGAUUAAAAAUGUAAGAACAAA